rnacentral:rRNA from 1 species
AUUGAACGCUGGCGGCAGGCCUAACACAUGCAAGUCGAACGAGUGGCGGACGGGUGAGUUAUGUCUGGGAAUCUGCCUGGUGGAUGGGGACCACAACUGGAAACGGAUGCUACUACCGCAUACCAGCGGAUGUGCCCAGAUGGGUUUAGCGAGUGGGUGGGGUAAAGGCUCACCUAGGCGACGAUCCCUAGCUGGUCUGAGAGGAUGAACCGCCACACUGGAACUGAGACACGGUCCAGACUCCUACGGGAGGCAGCAGUGGGGAAUAUUGCACAAUGGGCGCAAGCCUGAUGCAGCCAUGCCGCGUGUAUGAAGAAGGCCUUCGGGUUGUAAAGUACUUUCAGCGGGGAGGCGUUACCCGCAGAAUAAGCACCGGCUAACUCCGUGCCAGCAGCCGCGGUAAUAC